rnacentral:rRNA from 1 species
AACGAACGCUGGCGGCAGGCUUAACACAUGCAAGUCGAACGGAUCCUUCGGGAUUAGUGGCAGACGGGUGCGUAACGCGUGGGAACGUACCCUUUGCUACGGAAUAACUCAGGGAAACUUGAGCUAAUACCGUAUGUGCCCUACGGGGGAAAGAUUUAUCGGCAAUGGAUGGGCCCGCGUUGGAUUAGCUAGUUGGUGGGGUAAUGGCCUACCAAGGCGACGAUCCAUAGCUGGUCUGAGAGGAUGAUCAGCCACACUGGGACUGAGACACGGCCCAGACUCCUACGGGAGGCAGCAGUGGGGAAUAUUGGACAAUGGGCGCAAGCCUGAUCCAGCCAUGCCGCGUGAGUGAUGAAGGUCUUAGGAUUGUAAAGCUCUUUCACCGGUGAAGAUAAUGACGGUAGCGGGAGAAGAAGCCCCGGCUAACUCCGUG